AAAAAUUAAUACAUUUUGUCAAAAAUACUGUCUGUUUGAGAUCUUGUUGAAAACAACUCAACUUUCUGGUCUGGAAAUAGUCUUAACAUUAAUACUUAAUUUAAUUGUAACACUAGUCAUAGUUCCUAUUCCCCAGUCAUAGCCAAGUAUAGGGGUGCUAUUUGUUUGGAUACUGGAUAUGCCAGAUGGUUGACAAUUAUUUAUGGUAAAAUAAUGACUUUGAUUGGUUAUAAAGUAAGAGAAAGAACUUCACAAUCUAACGUUGAUAAACCUGCAUAGUUGCAAAAGCCUUGCCCUCGAAGUUCAAUGGUAAAAUCCACUUUUUGCAUUGGCAAACGAGCAUGACAAUAUGCCAGCAUAAAGUUCCCUACUUUUUUAACCAUCUCAAAUCAUUUUUAACCUGUCCGGCCCAGAUAUCCAGCCAGAUAUGAUAUCCAGUCCAUCCCUAGCCAAAUAUUAUAAUGAUGUCGAUUUGUAUGCCAUUGCUUGCCAUUCAUCAGUGCUGCCUAGCAACCAAAGUGGACAUUAUGCUUGGAACUUAAAAGCGUAUCAGAUAUAUACAACAAGGAAAACUCCAGAGGAUUUUCUUUAUGUCUCAUUAAAAUUUAAUAAGUUGUCAUUGAAAGCAUUCUUCUAUAGGCUAUACAGGGUGUAUCAAAAUAAACGCAAUUCAUCUUUUGUGCUUAAUAACUUUCGAAAUACUAUUUCUAGUUACACGCUUUUAGGCUUACUUCAAAGCCUGUUCUUUUCUCUUUCAAACAAACUAUUAUCCUUGUCUCCAAUACUAGUAAUAAUUGCACAGGAAAAGAUUUAGUAAAACCUAUCAUUUUUAGUUGCUGUUUAAUUAUGCAAGUUUACUAUGUUAUUGUUUAGUCGAUUUAAAUGUUAGAAUUUUCUUCUUUAAACUUUAAUGUUGUCGUCACUACAUCUGGAAAACCACGUAAGAACAAAUUAAAAGUAUUUUAAAAGAGACCCGGUUGUUUGAAAAUCCUAAACGAAUGCUAAAAAUCGUCAAAACAUUCUGGUGUCUGAGCCAGAGUGUCAUCGAA